GCGCUUGUGGCGUAAUUGGUAGCCGCGCCAGACUUAGGAUCUGGUGUCUUACGACGUGUAGGUUCGAGUCCUAUCAAGCGCA
rnacentral:tRNA from 1 species